rnacentral:rRNA from 1 species
CCGGGGUAGGUAACGUAAACCGUACGAGACGNGACCCUGCCUUUCAGAGGGGACAACAGUUGGAAACGACUGCUAAUACCGCAUAAAAUAACGGAACCGCAUGAUUCUGUUAUCAAAGGAGAAAUCCGCUGAAAGAUGGGCUCGCGUCUGAUUAGAUAGUUGGUGAGGUAACGGCCCACCAAGUCGACGAUCAGUAGCCGGACUGAGAGGUUGAACGGCCACCAUUGGGACUGAGACACGGCCCAGACUCCUACGGGAGGCAGCAG